GAACGCUGGCGGCGUGCCUAAUACCUGCAAGUUGAGCGAUGAAGAUUGGUGCUUGCCCCAAUUUGAAGAGCAGCGAACGGGUGAGUAACGCGUGGGGAAUCUGCCUUUGAGCGGGGGACAACAUUUGGAAACGAAUGCUAAUACCGCAUAACAACUUUAAACAUAAGUUUUAAGUUUGAAAGAUGCAAUUGCAUCACUCAAAGAUGAUCCCGCGUUGUAUUAGCUAGUUGGUGAGGUAAAGGCUCACCAAGGCGAUGAUACAUAGCCGACCUGAGAGGGUGAUCGGCCACAUUGGGACUGAGACACGGCCCAAACUCCUACGGGAGGCAGCAGUAGGGAAUCUUCGGCAAUGGACGAAAGUCUGACCGAGCAACGCCGCGUGAGUGAAGAAGGUUUUCGGAUCGUAAAACUCUGUUGGUAGAGAAGAACGUUGGUGAGAGUGGAAAGCUCAUCAAGUGACGGUAACUACCCAGAAAGGGACGGCUAACUACGUG
rnacentral:rRNA from 1 species